GGUGUACAGCAAAGCGACUCGGUGACACAUAGACAUCUAUCCCUUCUUUUUCAGAUUCUUCUCCUGCGUAGGUGGUGACACAGUCUCAGCAGAUUUCCCUUCGCCGGACGAAAUGCCAGAGAGUCCCUUGACUUUACGGAGCACCCUAUUUAAUACGUAGAAAACGGAAGUGGCUGGUCCGGGUCCCCAGGAUCGAAUUCCCAUGCCGUUUGUAGAAUCGAUGAAUCCGUUCCUGACCCUGCUGUUGGCGUGAUGUGUGGUUUCCCGCCAUCUGGUCUGGGGACCCCCUUUCUCUGAUCAUCCCUAACUGUCUGCCUGCUGGAACACAGUCUUUCUCAGUUCCACUGCUUCAUGUAUUCGUUGGACAACGACUUAUCGAUCAGAGGAUCCUCGGAGACAGUCACCACGCUGCUUCCAGCCAACGAGCCAGGUCAGCUGCCAGCUCACUGUCCAUCUGGGGGGAGCAGGACAUGCUGAGGGAUGAUGCCUAGGUGA